CAAAGCAGAAACUUUCAAAAUCACGAUCAGAGGGAAAGGGAAAACAAAAAGGCGGCAAACAUUGAAAGAAAGCACUAGCAAGGAAAUCAAAUCCAUCCCCGGACAUUACAAUAUAAAACUAACAAAUAUAAUAAUUUCCAAAACCCUUCCCCUUAAGUUCUCUCUUCAUAUCCGCCCCCCCUCUCUCAUCAUCCGAGAGAGAGAGAGAGAGAGAGAGAGAGAGAGAGAGAGAGAGUUUCCGUGUCUCGAUCGUGCUCCUACUCAGAAAAUCAGCGAAAACGAGUUGUCGUUGAUGAGAAUUUAAGCGCAGAGAAAAAAAGAUUAGAUACACCGUGCUGGAAUCGAUCGAGCUAAGUUUUUUUUAGCGUAAUUUAAAUUACCGAGCAUGAUUUUUUCGUGUUUUUUUCCUUCUGAAUAUGUCUCUGCUUUAUUUUUUUUUAAAUGGCGACGAGAAGUUAAUAUCAGUUUUUGUUAGAAAUCGAUCAGAUUGAUUGCUUGUGAAAUGUUUGUGAUUUGAUUGGUGAAUUGCUUGAGGUAGGUCAUAAAUGUGUUGGUUUGUUGAUCUAGUGGAUUAAUUGUGUCUGGCUUAGCUAAAUAGCUGAAUGCAUAGGAUUAUGAUGUUAUGUGCUCUUUUGUUUUAUAAGCAAGUGAUGGAGGGUUUUCUUACCAGGUGUAUAUGUUAAUUGAUUGAUGAAUUUGAAUACCUGUUGGUUCGAAAUACAAGCAGGCUUUAAAAUAGUCUUAAGAAUUGAGAUUUGAAUGCCUGUUUAAUAGAUGGAUGUGCAUAAGUUCUGUACGUUUUUUAAAGCAGAGUUUAAUAGAUAUCGUUCUACUUCUUUUUGGUGGUCGGUGGGGUUGAUAUU